GACGUGACCCCUGUGCCAAGCGCUUCCGGUUCCGGGGUAGCGGCGGCGGCCGAGAGGGUUCGGGCCGCUGUUUGUAAACUUGUCUCCCGGGGGAGAGCGCGGAGGCAACGGCGGAGCCCGGAGUCCGCAGCGGCCGAGCCAGGCUCCGACUAAACCAGAGAAGUGUCUGCAGCGAUAUCGAGGCACAGAGAUCAACUCCCUUUAUCCAGGAUCCAUCCAGAAGCAGGGCUAGGCUUGGGAUGACUCCUCUGUAAAAGCGGUGCAGUCAGUUACCUUCCCAUCUAGCUUCUCCAGCUCUCGGCAGUGCUUGGGGAAGACGCCCUUAGAACGCCACACACAAUUCCAGACUCUCAGAAUCCAGAAAGAUGUCGGCAAAGUGGAGGGUACUGGACAAGACCAGCAAAAAAUGAUUAACUGAAAAAAAAAAAAAAAAAAAUCUUUCUAAUCGUAAAAUUCUUUCCCGGGAGAGAAUUAAGGCUAAAGAAUUGUUACAAUCCGUUUGUUGAGGACAGACAGACAAGAUGGCUCAGGCGAGUCUCCUGGCCUGCGAGGGCCUCUCUGGGGUGUGCCUCGUGCCAACUGUUGCCAGCAAGAAGAUGAUGCCAAAACAGAGCUCCAAGCAGACAGAGAAUGGAGAGAGAGGGAACAGUCCGAACAUGCUGAGUCACCGCCAGGAGAGCGAGAAAUCUCGCAGCCGUAAAGAGGAAGAGCCGGCAGAAGCAUCACAGCCAAAAAAGACCAUUAAAAAGGUGAUGGUGAUUGAGCAGAACGGCUCCUUCCAGCUGAGAAUCCCCAAGAACUUUAUUUGUGAGCAUUGCUACGGAGCCUUUCGGAGCAGCUACCAUCUCAAGAGACACAUCCUCAUCCAUACUGCCCCUUCUGCUCUUCCCCAGGUGAGAAGCCGUUCGAGUGCGAUCUGUGUGACAUGCGCUUCAUCCAGAAGUACCACCUGGAGCGCCACAAGCGCGUGCACAGCGGCGAAAAGCCCUACCAGUGCGAGCGCUGCAUGCAGAGCUUCUCCAGGACAGAUCGGCUGCUUAGACACAAACGAAUGUGCCAGGGCUGCCAGACCAAAACCCCUGACUCGCAGCUGCUGCUUUAGGAGCCAGGGCGAUGCGUCGGAGAAGCUAGGACGUGGACAGGAUUUUCAGUUUUCUGUGUCUAGUUUUGCCUGCUCCUGCGCCCCCGGCCAAGGGGGGACAGAGCUGAGGACUCUCCUAGACUCUCAGAUGGGGUCCUGACACUGUAAAUAAGAUGAGGAUGAUCCGGAAUCUCUACUCAACCAGCAGAAGCCACGGGCAGCUGUGUAUAAACCUUCUUUUCCAUUGGUUUGUUUUUGAAGUAUCACCAUUUGCCUCUCAGGAAAGGCUUCGGGGGACAACAGGGCAAAGCUAGCUACACUCACCUCAAACUCUUAACACUUGCCAUCACCUGAUCGACCAGCUCCCGCCCAGGUAGAGCUCACAGAGAGAAGUAUGAAGUUUUACUAUUGGAACACGAAUCUUCUGUGUAAAACUGCUGACGGUGGAUCCUGGGGCGUUGGCUGUGACGUGAACAUUGGUUGGCAGCCUGUUACAAUCUGGCAGUACUUCUGCCCAGCACAAGGGGGCAGUACAAGCUAUCCUGUAGGACUACUGGCAAAAGGGGUGUUGGCAAACGGUUGGUUCGGUUAAACCAGAGGCUGGUUUAGAGGACAAACUAACUCACUCUCGGUUUUGAACUUUCAUAGCAGAUGGAACACCUGUGGUCUGGAGCAGAGACCCCUAAAUUAUGGGUGGGAACCUCGCUGCUCAGAACAUCUGAGGGCCUGAAGCUGCCUGGGUUCAGUGCUGCAGAGUUUUGAUGCGUGUGUGAUCUGUGUGGCUGGGGUUUUUUCUCAAAAGCUGUUUUUUUGGCCUGGUGGUGAGGCACUACUGCAGAGCUGCUGGUGUCACUGCUGCUACAGACAGUCCUUUUCCUUGAGUAGCUGAUGCGUGCACACCGUGUGCUAUACAAAGGAUUCAUCUGUCUAGCUGACGCUGCAGGUUGCCUGUAGCUGCAGCUGUCUUGAAGCCUGAAAGUCAAAUUGUUUGCAGCUGGUGCUGCCUUUUUCUAAACCAUCUUGGCAGAGGUAUUUUGAUUCCCGGUAAAACGUACAAGUCUGGGGCUAAGAGGCUUAUUGGAUUCACAUACGGCUCGUGCUCUGCAAACCCCCUCAGCUGAUGCAUGGGAAAAGUGUUCAAUUUUAUAUCUAGAAAUUAGUGACUUACGAUGAUUUGAACAUUUUUUUUAUUUUUAAAUGCUCUUAUGUAACCUGUCAUGACAUUCCAAAGUGAAUUAAGAUGAAUCGAAUUAAGACCGCUUGAAUUCUGAAUAAGAGCAUUCACACAGGGAUUUAAUGCAGUUUAACUAAUUUGCUAUAAAUUCACACCUUUAAUGGGGAUUCAUUUUCCUUAGUGUCCCCUUAUACACAAGCCCUUGAGGAGCUAUACCCAGGGAUAAAGAGUAAUAUUGACGGAGAUGUUUCAGGACUCUGAGUUUAUUCUUCUGCCUAGCUGGUUUGCAGCCGAAAUCACAUGAGAAAGGUGGGGGCAGUGAAACUGACAAGGAACACAACUGAAACUGACUAGAAACAAGUUUCCCUGUCUGAGCUGGGUGCAAAAGGGCAAUCUGGCUAGCACCAGCGCUCCAAAAUACAUCUACUGAAAAUGUGUCAGUUCUAGUAAUACACGCAGGACGAUGUUUAAAAUUGGCUUUUAACUUGCUGUAGCAAAGAGGUGCGUCAGCACCUCAUCUGUGCUGGGGAGUGUAAGUUAAAACAAUACAACCCUCCAGUGUAAAGAUGUUAUUCUGGUGCAAUUAGGGGCUUUCCCUGCUUUCAAGCUAGGGUAAACCAUGCUCUUGCAGGCCCCUUACUGUCACGGCAUGGCUGCACCAGUGUGAAUGCACCACUGUAAUGCAGCUAUCCCCAGCCCCUCCAUGGCUGAAAAGCAGAUGAGUAGCGGCGUCAGGCUGGCUGGUUCUCUGGAGUGGGGUGCAAAUGGGCACUUCGUUUCCUUGUGCACCCAUGUAAAACUAAUUUUUCCUGUAGCCUCCGUAUCCACAUGAGCCCACGUCUGGUGGGGGGGAAGGGGACAGUGUCUGACUGUGUGUUUCAGAGAUGGGACCCUGCUCUCUAGUGUGCAUGUAUAACAAGCUCACCAGACUCCGGUCUGAUUUGUGCUCAGCUGUCUUCUCAGGUGAGGCCUGGAACGGCCCAGGGAAGAGGCUAGCUGUAGCGCUGUAUUAAUGUGCAUCAUUAGACCUUGAUCAUGCCAUUUCCCAGCUCCAGCCAGGAUAAUUUCCUUUCCCACUUUGUGAGCAUUAAAAAUCAUCCAGCCAGAAAACCACAUGCCAGAAUACACCCCUUGCUGCAGCCGGGCAUGAGCCCCUGAAGGCCAGGGAUUGGAAACCAUGCUGCCGGCUAAGUGUGAGAGAUUAUACGUGUGCACACCUGCCUGCCCUUGAGUCAAGGAGUCUGUGAACAAGAGGGGGAUGGCUGCCCAGGUGCCCUUCACAGGCAGAACGAACUCAGUCACACUGUGGCGUGACAUUGAUCCCUGAAGGUAGGCGGGAAGUGGCCCCCUGUUGUCCCAGAACUACUGUUUUGACAGAUGGACCAAGAACUCUCCUGUGUUAGUGAAUCCGAGCUGAGUGAUAUCUGGAAAGUCCCAUGGCUUAUUUGUCUUUUUUUUUUUUUUUUUUUUUUAAAUAUACUUAUUUUGCGAUUGGGGGUGGGGGGAGCGUGUGUUACUGAGGAGAUAAAUGAGAAUCACUUUUAAACUGUAGUUUUUAUAAGAUGUUAUAAACUUGUAUCUUUUUACCAUUAGUGUGGUGUCUGUUCCUUUGUGACCUAUUUAGAGUAUUUAAAUAAAAUCUUGUGGUUUUUUUCUUUUCUAAACUCUACUCUGCUUCUUAUCUUAGUUCACUCUAGGGUCUCGGAUCCUGGCCUGAACAGCAGUGCAG